CUCAAGACGAACGCUGGCGGCGUGCUUAACACAUGCAAGUCGAGCGGAAAGGCCCUUCGGGGUACUCCAGCGGCGAACGGGUGAAUAACACGUGAAUAACCUACCUCCAACUCUGGGAUAAGCCUGGGAAACUGGGUCUAAUACCGGAUGUUCAUCUCCUGCUGCAUGGGGGGGGAUGGAAAGUGUUUAGCGGUUCGGGAUGGGCUCGCGGCCUAUCAUCUUGUUGGUGAGGUAAUGGCUUACCAGGGCUUUUACGGGUACCCGGCCUGAGAGGGCCACCGGCCACACUGGGACUGAUAUACGGCCCACACUCCUACGGGAGGCAGCAGUGGGGAAUAUUGCGCAAUGGGCGGAAGCCUGACACAACAACCCCGUGUGAGGGAUGACGGCCUUCGGGUUGUAAACCUCUUUCACCAGGGACGAAUCUUUUGUGACGGUACCUGGGGAAAAAGCGCCGGCCAACUACGUGCCAGCAGCCGCGGUAACACAUAGGGCGCGAGCGUUGUCCAGAAUUAUUGGGCGUAAAGGGCUCAUACGCGGUUUGUCGCCUCAAAAGUGAAAAUCCGGGGCUCAUCUCCAGACUUGCUUUCUAUACGGGCAGGCUAGAUGUACGCAGGGAGAGAAUGGAAUUCCUGGUGUAGCGGUGGAAUGCGCAUAUAUCGAGAAGAACACCGGUGGCGAAGGCGGUUCUCUGGGCGCUACCUGACGCUGAGGAGCGAAAGCGUGGGGAGCGAACAGGAUUAGAUACCCUGGUAGUCCACGCUGUAAACGUUGGGCGCUAGGUGUGGGAGUCUUUUGUGACGUCCGUGCCGUAGCUAACGCAUUAAGCGCCCCGCCUGGGGAGUACGGUCGCAAGACUAAAACUCAAAGGAAUUGACGGGGGCCCGCACAAGCGGCGGAGCAUGUUGCUUAAUUCGAGGCAACGCGAAGAACCUUACCUGGGUUUGACAUGUGGGUUAAUCCGGCAGAGAUGUCGGGUCCUUUUGGGAACUCAUGCAGGUGGUGCAUGGCUGUCGUCAGCUCGUGUCGUGAGAUGUUGGGUUAAGUCCCGCAACGAGCGCAACCCUCUUCUUAUGUUGCCAGCACGUUAUGGUGGGGACUCAUAGGAGACUGCCGGGGUCAACUCGGAGGAAGGUGGGGAUGAUGUCAAGUCUUCAUGCCCCUUAUGUCCAGGGCUGCAAACAUGCUACAAUGGUCGGUACAAUGGGCUGCGAGACCGUGAGGUGGAGCGAAUCCUUAAAAGCCGGCCUCAGUUCGGAUCGGGGUCUGCAACUCGACCCCCUGAAGUGGAGUCGCUAGUAAUCGCGGAUCAGCAACGCCGCGGUGAAUA
rnacentral:rRNA from 1 species